rnacentral:rRNA from 1 species
UACAGAGGUCUCAAGCGUUGUUCGGAUUCAUUGGGCGUAAAGGGUGCGUAGGCGGCGCGGUAAGUCGGGUGUGAAAUCUCGGAGCUUAACUCCGAAACUGCAUUCGAUACUGCCGUGCUUGAGGACUGGAGAGGAGACUGGAAUUUACGGUGUAGCGGUGAAAUGCGCAGAUAUCAGGAGGAACACCGAUGGCGAAGGCAGUGAUCUGGGCCGGUACUGACGCUGAGGAGCGAAAGCGUGGGUAGCAAACAGG